AAAUUUUAUUUAUUUUAUUUUUAUGUUGGUCAUCCGAAGGGGAUUAAUAUUUUAACUGUUUGUAUCUACUGACAAUGAUCAAAAAAGCACAUAUUGCUAUUAAAUUUAUAUCAUCAUCAGUCUGCCCCUGUGAUGUGAGUACUUCUGAUUUAUUUGGACAGUGACAUGAUCUCUGCUAAGUCCAACAACCUGCUUGGAGCUUGGUAAGGUACAGUAAGAUUUACUGACAUAAAAUUUCUGAACUUGUCCAGAAGGCAAUUGGAAGAUACACUGAAAUUUCACUGUCUGGGCAAUUUGUCUAACAAAAGAGUCAGAAAUGGUCAAAGAGUUUAUUCUAAUUGUCUUAACUUUUGCCUUGCAUCCAGCCGGCAUUUGUAGUUCCUUGUGAAGCAGAAAGCUGCUGUAGGAAUGACAGGAGGUGACUCUGAAAGACAUUGAGAGACCUACUAAAUACCUUAGAGUCAGAGAAGGAUUGGGUAUGAAAUCUGGACGUAUUUGUUCUAACACCUAUAAAUCUCAGAAAAUCUCACUGUUAUAAAAUGGUGAAGAGAACUUCUUUUUAUUUACAGUACACUCUGGAUUUAUCAUAAGAUGGACAACAGUUACAAGAUUCAGUAUCAGGAGCUCUCCUUGUUAUUUAAGAAAAGAAAAACAUUUACCUUCAGUAACCUGGUUUCCUAUUUGUAGCAUCUAAGUUUUUGGCCAGUACCCAUCCUAAUAUCAUUGCUGUCUCCUCAAGUAGAAAAGGAGCGAUCAGCACCGGUGGAGCAGAGCGAGGUACCAGCAGGGAACAGGUUGUUAGAGAUGUAUGGCAGAGAGAAAAUUGGUCGUUAGCAUCUGUGGCAGAGAGGUAUCAGCUACUCCAUCCACUCUACUAAAUGCCCUCAUGGAAAGUAUGUAGUUGAGAUCA
rnacentral:lncRNA from 1 species